UACAGAGGGUGCAAGCGUUAAUCGGAAUUACUGGGCGUAAAGCGCACGCAGGCGGUGUGGUAAGUCUGAUGUGAAUCUCCUGGCUUAACUGGGAGGGGUCAUUGGAAACUGCCGUACUUGAGGCGAUGAGAGGGGUGUAGAAUUCCCGGUGUAGUGGUGGAAUGCGUAGAUAUCGGGAGGAAUACCAGUGGCGAAAGCGACACCCUGGCAUUAGCCUGACGCUCAUGUGCGAAGGCGUGGGGAGCGAACGGG
rnacentral:rRNA from 1 species